ensembl:lncRNA
ACUUUUCAGAGCCAAUAAAGACAUUGUGCUGGUUUUGUUUUUUCUUUAUUUAGAUACUGACCGAGCUUUAGUACUGCUGGAAGAAUAUUGCAAAAAACUACGGAAGCCAGAAGAGCAACAGCUGAAAAAAGCCAUCAGAAAGGUGAUGGGCAUCUUUAAGAGCAGCUUGUUUCAGGCACUUCUAGAUAGCUUCAAAAAGAAAGCAACCAGACAUGGAACUACCUCCCACACUUCACUGCCAGCGGCUUUUGCAUGUGAUGUCCUUGGAAACCCAAAAGAUUAGCCAGUCUCAUCCACCUGGCCCAUGUCACAGGGAUCAAGGACAUUUCUCCAUCUGCAAACUUAAGCUCAUGGUAAGUAUAUCUUUUUACUAAGUUGCACAGAAUUUUCUUAAUAAACAGUGUUACUGCUUUUUAUUUUGUAAUGACACUGAAGGACAGUUAUUUGUGUCUGCCAAUUGUCAUGAAUUUAUUAAAUGAAGGAAAGGCUGUAAUACAGUCUAAGAAAGAUAGCUUUGUGAAGGCUAAUAUGAAAUAGAAGAGUUAAUAUUCCUUUCUUUUCUUUUUCAGCUCUCUGAAAGUGAAGAGAACAAAUUGAAAGUUAGAGUCUGAGACGACUAAUAGGGACAUCUCAUUCUUGAUGGGGGCAACAGUCCUCUCAUGUGGCAAUGCAUUAUCAGCAACAAAGAAGGUUCUUCUACUCUGGUAUUUUUCAGAGUUGAACUUCAGCUAUCAGCCUGCACCCUAGGACCAUUACUGACCACUACAACUGCAUCACUUGCAUCCUGGCACAUUUUGACAUCCAGGAGAACUCAAUACUUCUGCUAUAAAGAAUGUGGACAUGAAGAUCAGCUUGUAUAUUUGUGUCCCUGAAUGUUUUCCACUUGAGGAAAAACCCUGUGUGCUAUUGGAUAAGGUCCUGAAACAUAAUUUAAAAGCAUCAUCAGCAGGAAAAACCCAUCAUGAAGUGGGAGAAAGUCUUCUUGAACAUUAUUCAUUUGAAUGAUGGAGCUGUGUAGAAGCAGAUAUUGAGAAGAUGCAGCUGAUGUGUGACCGAGUACCAAAUGGACAUCCUUAGAGAAGACAGUUCUAACUUCCCUAAGUCAUCACUACUCUCUUAGUAGGCCAUAUUUUUUAGGGAAUCACUCAGCAUGUGUGUCAGCUUUCCCAGACCUAAAUUAUUUUAAGCUGCAUAUUUCUUUCGGAGUGAAAAUUUGAGAUCCUGCAGCCCAUGAAUUGCUGUGAAGACAUGGAAGCCAGAUUCCUCACUUUUAAGGGACUGGUGUGGUGGCAUACAGGAGUCUAAUGUUCCAUGCAAUUUAUGAUUUUCCACUUUAUUGAAGAAAUAAUUCUGUUUGUAGUUUUAUGAAUUUGCAGUCUUGAAUACCCAGUACUGCAGGUCACAAUUUUAUCUAUAGGCUGUUCCAUCUUAAGUGAAGAAACACUAUAUGUUGUUAAAACCCUGAUCUCCAAGAGUUUGUAAAAAGAAAAAUUCAUGAUGGUUGACUUAAAAUGUAAUUUUUAAAAGUUGAACAUUUAUUAUUAAAGC